rnacentral:rRNA from 1 species
UUGCCAGCCCGCUCAGAAACUCAAAGGAAUUGACGGGGCCCGCACAAGCGGAGGAACAUGUGGUUUAAUUCGAUGAUACGCGAGGAACUUACCCGGGCUUGAAAUGCAUCUGGCGUCCCGAGAGAUCGGGAUUUCCCACGGGACAGAUGCGUAGGUGCUGCAUGGUUGUCGUCAGCUCGUGCCGUGAGGUGUCGGCUUAAGUGCCAUAACGAGCGCAACCCCUACCGUUAGUUGCCAUCAGGUCAAGCUGGGGACUCUAACGGGACUGCCAUCGUAAGGUGCGAGGAAGGUGGGGAUGACGUCAAAUCAGCACGGCCCUUACGUCCGGGGCGACACACGUGUUACAAUGGGUGGUACAAAGGGCAGCUACAUGGCGACAUGGUGCCAAUCUCCAAAACCACUCUCAGUUCGGAUCGGAGUCUGCAACUCGACUCCGUGAAGCUGGAUUCGCUAGUAAUCGCGCAUCAGCCACGGCGCGGUGAAUACGUUCCCGGGCCUU